GAACCCUGACUUCGGUUAGGGGGAGAGUGGCGAACGGGUGAGUAACACGUAGGUGAUCUACCUCUGGAUGGGGGAUAGCCUGUGGAAACACAGGGUAAUACCGCAUGAGGUCCUUCUGGUAAAGCGGAGGGAUGAAAGGGGCAACUGCCCCGUCUGGGGAUGAGCCUGCGGCCCAUUAGCUAGUUGGUGAGGUAACGGCCCACCAAGGGUAAGAUGGGUAGCCGGCCUGAGAGGGUGUACGGCCACACUGGAAUUGCGACACGGUCGAGGCUCCUACGGGAGGCUGUAGUGGGUAAUUCUAGAAAUCUCCUACAAAUAUCAGC
rnacentral:sRNA from 1 species